AUUUCGGUCAUCGAUGGGGAUGCGUUCCAUUAGGUUGUUGGCGGGGUAACGGCCCACCAAGCCUUCGAUGGAUAGGGGUUCUGAGAGGAAGGUCCCCCACAUUGGAACUGAGACACGGUCCAAACUCCUACGGGAGGCAGCAGUGAGGAAUAUUGGUCAAUGGACGAGAGUCUGAACCAGCCAAGUAGCGUGAAGGAUGACUGCCCUAUGGGUUGUAAACUUCUUUUAUACGGGAAUAAAGUGAGGCACGUGUGCCUUUUUGUAUGUACCGUAUGAAUAAGGAUCGGCUAACUCCGUGCCAGCAGCCGCGGUAAUACGGAGGAUCCGAGCGUUAUCCGGAUUUAUUGGGUUUAAAGGGAGCGUAGGCGGACGCUUAAGUCAGUUGUGAAAGUUUGCGGCUCAACCGUAAAAUUGCAGUUGAUACUGGGUGUCUUGAGUACAGUAGAGGCAGGCGGAAUUCGUGGUGUAGCGGUGAAAUGCUUAGAUAUCACGAAGAACUCCGAUUGCGAAGGCAGCUUGCUGGACUGUAACUGACGCUGAUGCUCGAAAGUGUGGGUAUCAAACAGGAUUAGAUACCCUGGUAGUCCACACAGUAAACGAUGAAUACUCGCUGUUUGCGAUAUACAGUAAGCGGCCAAGCGAAAGCGUUAAGUAUUCCACCUGGGGAGUACGCCGGCAACGGUGAAACUCAAAGGAAUUGACGGGGGCCCGCACAAGCGGAGGAACAUGUGGUUUAAUUCGAUGAUACGCGAGGAACCUUACCCGGGCUUGAAUUGCAACUGAAUGAUGUGGAGACAUGUCAGCCGCAAGGCAGUUGUGAAGGUGCUGCAUGGUUGUCGUCAGCUCGUGCCGUGAGGUGUCGGCUUAAGUGCCAUAACGAGCGCAACCCUUAUCGAUAGUUACCAUCAGGUUAUGCUGGGGACUCUGUCGAGACUGCCGUCGUAAGAUGUGAGGAAGGUGGGGAUGACGUCAAAUCAGCACGGCCCUUACGUCCGGGGCUACACACGUGUUACAAUGGGGGGUACAGAAGGCAGCUACACGGCGACGUGAUGCUAAUCCCUAAAGCCUCUCUCAGUUCGGAUUGGAGUCUGCAACCCGACUCCAUGAAGCUGGAUUCGCUAGUAAUCGCGCAUCAGCCACGGCGCGGUGAAUACGUUCCCGGGCCUUGUACACACCGCCCGUCAAGCCAUGAAAGCCGGGGGUACCUGAAGUGCGUAACCGCAAGGAGCGCCCUAGGGUAAAACUGGUGAUUGGGGCUAAGUCGUAACAAGGUAGCCGUACCGGAAGGUGCGGCUG
rnacentral:rRNA from 1 species